rnacentral:tRNA from 1 species
ACCUGGGUGGCUGAGCUGGUUAAGCAUCUGACUUCAGCUCAGAUCAUGAUCUCACGGUUCGUGGGUUCGAGCCCCGCGUCGGGCU